UGUGCUCUUCUGAUCUGUUGAUUAAAUGUUUGACCAAGUACAGCAGGCUAAUUUUUAAGUUGAUAAUUCGGCAUGGCCCACAAAUGAUAUUAUAAGUACCCAAAAUGGCCCUUGGUAGAAAAAAGUUUCC